UACAGAGGUCUCGAGCGUUUGUUCGGAUUCAUUGGGCGUAAAGGGUGCGUAGGUGGCGCUGUAAGUCGGGUGUGAAAUCCUGAGGCUUAACCUCGGAACUGCAUUCGAUACUGCGGCGCUUUGAGGACUGGAGAGGAGACUGGAAUUCAUGGUGUAGCAGUGAAAUGCGUAGAGAUCAUGAGGAAGACCAGUGGCGAAGGCGGGUCUCUGGACAGUUCCUGACACUGAGGCACGAAGGCCAGGGGAGCAAACGGGG
rnacentral:rRNA from 1 species